UUGCCCCUGCUGUGUACGUGAUUGGCAGAAUGUUUCUGAGCCAACAUACAUUAAACGGGAGCCCUGCCUGGCUCUGGUGUGCAGAUCAGCUUUGGCUGAAAGCCUAAAGGAGUUAUAGGGCGCCCACCUGAACUGCAGGUUCUAGACCACCUGCCAACACGGCACAAAGCGGGGGCAUU
rnacentral:other from 1 species